UGCCACUUCUGAGAAUGAAAAGCAACCGCUCCAGACUUGUCCUGUGCAUCACUGCCAUUCCAAAGCCUCCGACGUCACAGUGGUGUUUCCAGUAAGUGAUCUCACUGGAAUGAGUCUGGUGAGACAGACCUGUACUUGGGAAAGAGGCUUUUCUUCCUGCAGAAUUUCAGCAUCACCAUCAAGAGUGCGAGUAAAUCCCCCACACGCUCUGUUACUGACUUCGCCUCUCCUAGCUGAAGCUAACCUCCCAGGAAAAGGAUGCAAGGAGGAAACCACCUGCCCAGGACACAGACAAUACCACCAUUGUCAUUCUCGUGUUACCUCAAGGUCACGCAGCCCCACGAUUUAUAGCACUUACUUCCACGCUCCUGUGACACUCUGCACAUGUUAAAUCUCCUUCCUGUCCCAUUCCCUACUCCUGCCUUGAGUCUGUCCCCACCUAGCUGACUCCUGGAGAGAUCAUUCUGGGGUUUGGCUCCAAGCUGUCAGCUGCAGGGAUUUGUCUCCACCCUCAGAACAGUAGGAUGCCAACCUCUGGCUGCCCCAAGGAUCACUGGGCAGGUCCAGGUCUGAGUAUCCCAGAAGGACCCGGCCUUGAGUUGAGAUGAAUUUGAUCUGCCCUAUUUGGAGUCUCCUCUGUUCAGGUCAGGGAAUCACAGGGCUCCAAUCCAUCGCCAUGUAUUUUCCCAGCCUACAACAGGCCCUGUGCAAUGUCAAGGACCUGAAUUCCCCCUUGCUCUUUCGGGGUGAGACCCCCACCCCCAGCCUGCAUUAGGAAGGAGGCUGGACAUCGGGCAGUGCUUUCUCAACCCGAGUGAGCAGCGGGCAUUCUGCUUUCAAAGAAGGAAAUACCCACUUUCCCAC
rnacentral:lncRNA from 1 species